UACGUAGGGUGCAAGCGUUGUCCGGAAUUAUUGGGCGUAAAGAGCUUGUAGGCGGUUUGUCGCGUCUGCUGUGAAAUUUCGGGGCUCAACCCCGAACUUGCAGUGGGUACGGGCAGACUAGAGUGCGGUAGGGGAGACUGGAAUUCCUGGUGUAGCGGUGAAAUGCGUAGAUAUCGAGAGGAACACCUGCGGCGAAGGCGGGUUGCUGGGCUGACACUGACGCUGAUGCGCGAAAGCCAGGGGAGCGAACGGG
rnacentral:rRNA from 1 species